rnacentral:lncRNA from 1 species
GGAAAAAAUUUGCUUGUUGUUGGAAAUAUGUUUGUGGUUAAGACAAAGGCUUUUUUUUUAAACGUUCUCUUUUUGUCAUCAUUUCCUCUUUUUUCUUUUCUUUUUUUUCUCUUUUUCCUUUGUUCUCUUUUUCUCCCCUUUCGCUUUCGUUUUACAUCGUUUGACCGUACCCUGUCGAUUAUUGAACUUUUCAUUCUGAUUUGUUGCACGGGUCAGGUAAGUAAGUCCUCUAUGAU